UCCAUCCAUCCAUCCAUCCAUCCAAAUCUCCUCUCCUCUCCUCUCCUCUCCUCUCCUCUCCUCUCCUCUCCUCUCCUCUCCUCUCCUCUCCUCUCCUCUCCUCUCCUCUCCUCUCCUCUCCUCUCCUCCAGAAUGUGCACCUGAUUUAAGUGACCCCACGUCCGUUGCCACGUACACAGCUGAAGAAAUAGGACUAGCAAAAGAUGGAGUCGUUCGAUAUUUUUCAGAUGAGGAUGGUACGAAAAAUCACACACACCCAACAAGUUUUUGACCAAGAAUUUGUCAACAUUUAAGUACAAAUCUGUUAUAAUUCUGACUGUCUGAUGUUUUCCUACAUCUGCAGGCAAUUUCUACCUUAGUUACAUUGACCCUGUGGUCAUUGGAAGACAAGCUUUCCACACUGCUGAUGACUUCAUGAAAGACGUAGGGGGCACCGUCAGGGACACCACAUGUGCUAUGAUAGAUAGUGUAGUUGAUGCUAUAAAGGAUAUAAAUACAGGAGAAACGGAUCUUAGCUACAUAGACCCUGUAGUCAUAGGCAGAAAUGUCUUCAGCGUCACUAAUGAGUUCAUGUGUGGAGUUGGAGGCUCCAUCCAGCAUGUGCUCUGUGCCAUCAUAGACACUAUUUUAGAUGUAGGAAAAGGAAUUUACCAAGGAACCACGGAUGUCAGCUUCGUUGAUCCGGUGGUAAUUGGCAGAAAAACUUUUCAUAUCAGUAAUGACGCUGUAGGAGGAAUAGCGGGUCACAUCCAGGACGUGCUCUGUGCCAUCAUAGACACUAUACUGGACAUUGUUAAAGAUAUCAUGGACGCUGUGGGAUUCAGCCCCAUGUCAAUUCUGAAGACAACAGCAGAAAUCACCACAGAACAGAUAAACAUGCUGACAGGCUACCUCUCCACAACACUGAUGGGCGAACAAGGUAUCAUGCCUGAGGUGUCAGUUGAUCCCAUGAAAGUGGUCGAAGACGCUGUGUUGGAGUUCAGCGACAAGAAAGAUUUGUUCGUGGCUUACAUGUCGAGCAUGGUUGUUGGUGAUCAAGGUGAACCUGUUACUACACCAGAUGUCAGUGUAGUAACUGAAAAAGAUGACUCUGCAGCGCCAUCAUCUGAUAUAAAUCUGGUGCAAAGGAAAGGUGAAUUCCUUCCACCUAUUGAAAAAG
rnacentral:lncRNA from 1 species